AAACCCUCACACCAGUGAUGUCAAAGUCUCUGGAGGUGGAAUUGGACUGUGCCGUAGUUGGCUCGUCCUGAAAUUCAUUAGCCUGCGCUUUGUUAGCGUGCUCGGCAUGGUGUGAUAAUUAUCUGCGCCGUCGCCUUAGGCCGCUUCUUUUAAUGUGCUGCUUCUAAUCGUCCCUUGUGGACAGACACUAUAAAG
rnacentral:misc_RNA from 1 species